rnacentral:rRNA from 1 species
GACGGAGGGUGCAAGCGUUGUUCGGAAUUACUGGGCGUAAAGGGCGCGUAGGCGGUCUGUUAAGUUCGGUGUGAAAGCCCCCGGCUCACCUGGGGAACUGCGCCGGAAACCGACAGACUCGAGUACCGGAGAGGAGGGUGGAAUUCCUGGUGUAGCGGUGAAAUGCGUAGAUAUCGGGAGGAACACCAGUGGCGAAGGCGACUACCUGGCCUGUUCUUGACGCUGAGGCGCGAAAGCUAGGGGAGCAAACGGG